GGAUGAACGCUGGCGGCGUGCCUAAUCCAUGCAAGUCGAACGCUGAAGGAAGGAGCUUGCUCUUUCCGGAUGAGUUGCGAACGGGUGAGUAACGCGUAGGUACCCUCCCUGUUGCGGGGGGUUAACUAUGGGAACGGUUGCCAAAUCCGCAUAACAGUAAGAUUUGGCAGAUUAUUUACUAAAAAGGGCCAUUGGACCAACAACCAGAGGAACUUGCGUUGUAUUAGCUAGUUGGGGAGGUAACGGCUCACCAAGGCGACGAUACAUAGCCGACCGGAGGGGGUGAUCGGCCACACUGGGACUGAGACACGGCCCAGACUCCUACGGGAGGCAGCAGUAGGGAAUCUUCGGCAAUGGACGGAAGUCUGACCGAGCAACGCCGCGUGAGUGAAGAAGGUUUUCGGAUCGUAAAGCUCUGUUGUAAGAGAAGAACGAGUGUGAGAGUGGAAAGUUCACACUGUGACGGUAUCUUACCAGAAAGGGACGGCUAACUACGUG
rnacentral:rRNA from 1 species